GAACGGUAGCACAGAGGAGCUUGCUCCUUGGGUGACGAGUGGCGGACGGGUGAGUAAUGUCUGGGAAACUGCCCGAUGGAGGGGGAUAACUACUGGAAACGGUAGCUAAUACCGCAUAACGUCGCAAGACCAAAGAGGGGGACCUUCGGGCCUCUUGCCAUCGGAUGUGCCCAGAUGGGAUUAGCUAGUAGGUGGGGUAACGGCUCACCUAGGCGACGAUCCCUAGCUGGUCUGAGAGGAUGACCAGCCACACUGGAACUGAGACACGGUCCAGACUCCUACGGGAGGCAGCAGUGGGGAAUAUUGCACAAUGGGCGCAAGCCUGAUGCAGCCAUGCCGCGUGUAUGAAGAAGGCCUUCGGGUUGUAAAGUACUUUCAGCGAGGAGGAAGGCGUUGUGGUUAAUAACCGCAACGAUUGACGUUACUCGCAGAAGAAGCACCGGCUAACUCCGUGCCAGCAGCCGCGGUAAUACGGAGGGUGCAAGCGUUAAUCGGAAUUACUGGGCGUAAAGCGCACGCAGGCGGUCUGUCAAGUCGGAUGUGAAAUCCCCGGGCUCAACCUGGGAACUGCAUCCGAAACUGGCAGGCUAGAGUCUUGUACAGGGGGGUAGAAUUCCAGGUGUAGCGGUGAAAUGCGUACAGAUCUGGAGGAAUACCGGUGGCGAAUGCGGCCCCCUGGGNAAAAACUGAGGCUCUNGUGC
rnacentral:rRNA from 1 species